rnacentral:rRNA from 1 species
UCCUGGCUCAGAACGAACGUUGGCGGCGUGGAUUAGGCAUGCAAGUCGAGCGCGAACCGUAGCAAUACGGGGAGAGCGGCGAAAGGGAGAGGAAUACGUGGAUACCUACCCUCAGGUUCAGGAUAGCUGUGGGAAACUACAGGUAAUACUGAAUAAUAUCUCCGGAUCAAAGGUGUGAUUCCACCUGAGGAGGGGUCCGCGUCCUAUUAGCUUGUUGGCGAGGUAACGGCUCACCAAGGCGAAGAUGGGUAUGGGAUGUGAGAGCAUGAUCCCACUCACUGGGACUGAGACACUGCCCAGACACCUACGGGUGGCUGCAGUCGAGAAUCUUCGGCAAUGGGGGAAACCCUGACCGAGCGACGCCGCGUGCGAGAUGAAGGCCUUCGGGUUGUAAAUCGCUGUCAGAGGGGAGGAAAUGCUAGUGGGUUAUCCCAUUAGUUUGACCUAGCCUCAGAGGAAGGACGGGCUAAGUUYSUGCCAGCAGCCGCGGUAAGACGAACCGUCCAAACGUUAUUCGGAAUCACUGGGCUUAAAGGGUGCGUAGGCGGUCCGGGAAGUUGGGUGUGAAAGCCCUCGGCUCAACCGAGGAACUGCGUCCAAAACUGCCGGACUCGAGGGAGACAUAGGUGAGCGGAACUUAGGGUGGAGCGGUGAAAUGCGUUGAGAUCCUAAGGAACACCAGUAGCGAAAGCGGCUCACUGGGUCUCUUCUGACGCUGAGGCACGAAAGCUAGGGGAGCGAAGAGGAUUAGAUACCCUCGUAGUCCUAGCCGUAAACGAUGAGCACUGGUUUGGAGG